rnacentral:lncRNA from 12 species
GUUGUUUUCUCUUCCUACUGAACUCGUGUGCGAGGUGGAUGUUGUUUCAGGCACUGGGGCGUGUCUCCUCCUGUCUGCUCUGCCUCUCCUGUUGGGUGGCAGCCACGGAGUUUGGUAUGUGGGUGCCAGAUCCCCAGGGUGGUCUGACUACUCUGAGUCCAUCAGAGCAAUCCCCUCCCCUUGUGGUCGGUUCAGAAAUGGACUGACAGCCAGUGUGGCUCUGUGAGACUGGGGUAGAAUUGCUGGGGCUUCUAGAGGUUUUUUGUCCCCUUUGGGUUAGAGAGAAAGCUGCAGAUGACCAGUUUCUGUCUUCGGCUAGAUGUGAACAAGAACACCAGAUUGCUCCGGCUGCGUCCUGUGACCCCGAGGGAGUCCAGCACCAAACAGUGGCAGGGAGGCAGAAAGAGGCCAUCCAAGAUGCCAAAAGGAAAGAAGGCUAAGAGGAAGAAGGUGGCCCUAGCCCCUGCUGUUUUAACGGAACAAAAGGCCAAGAAAGUAUCAGCCCCAUUUGACAAAAGGCCCAAGAAUUUUGGCAUCAGACAGGAUAUCUAAUCCAAAAGGGACCUCACCCACUUUGCCACAUGGCCCCACUACAUCUGGCUGCAGUGGCAAAAGGCUAUUCUCUAUAAAAUCUAAAAGUGCCUCCCAUGAUUAACUAGUUUAUACAGGCCUUGGGCCACCAAAGGGCUACUCAACUACUUAAGCUGGCCACAAGCACAGAGGGGAGACACAGCAAGAGAAGAAGCAGAGAUUGUUGUUCCAGGCUGAGAAGAAAGCUGCCAGCAAAGGGGAUGUCCCCACUAAGAGGCCACCUAUCCUUUGAGCUGAGGUUAAUACUGUCACCACCACAGUGGAAAACAAGAAGGCUCACCUGGUAGUGAUCGCACAUGAUGGGGAUUCCCUAUUGUAUGGUCAAGGGGAAGGCCAGGCUGCAGCAUCUGGUCCACAGGAAGACCUGCACCACUGUUGCCUUCAUACAAGUUAACUCAGAAGACAAAGGAGCUCUGGCUAAACUGGUGGAAGCUGUCAGGACCAAUGACAAUGACAGAUGUGAUGGAUUUGCUGUAACUGGGGAUGCAAGAUCCUGGGUCCAGAGUCAGUGGCUCACAUUGCCAAGCUGGAAAAACAACGGCUAAAGACUUGGCCAUCAAACUGGGGUAAGUGUGCACUGUUGAAUUUUCUGUACGUCAAAGUGAUAGGGGCACCUGUGUGGGUCAGCUGGUAAAGCAUCUGACUCUUGAUCUCAGCUCAGAUCUUGCCCUCAGGGUUCUAGGAUAGAGCCCCAUGUCAGGCUUCAUGCUCACCAGGGAGUCGACUUGAGAUUCUCUCUCUCUGUCUCAAAUAAGUUAAUAAAUCUUUCUUUAAAGUUCUCUUUAAAAAAAAA